CAAAAAAUGAAAAAUGUGCCCACCUUACGCAACCCUUUGCUCGAAUCCCUUCUCCACAUUUUCAGCGAUCUCCCCUAUGAACAUUUCCAAACCCUACAGUUGACCUCUUCAAUUCCCUCGUAGCUUCUCUAGAUCCCUCCCCCAGUUCCAUUUCGAAAUUAAUCUCUUCUGAUUUACAGAUUCAGAGUAAUAGCCCUAAUUUCAACGGACCAAUCCGGUCCGCAUUUCGAUCAGCAUCUCGAAUCAGAGUAAUAGCCCUGAUUUACAGAUCCGGUCCUUGUACGACUCUGAAAUUGAGAAACCCUAGCUUCGUCUCCAUCUCGAAUUUCGAUCAGCAUUAGAUAUCUAGAUUCUCUUCAACCUUUGAGAAAGAGAACGAGCAGAAACCAUUUGAUUUCAAGCACCAACACAUUAAGGGUCGACUGUAGAGAGAGACUUAUCGGCGCUGGCUAAUGAAAACAAAAAGGUGGUUGAAGGGCUUCACCGAUUACUGAAGUUUCGAUUCAGAGCUUUGUGGCAUUUGGGUUUCCUUUCUCGUUGGCGUUCAUUCUGCGACAAUCUCUGAAGCCGAUGAUGUUUUUCAAGAAAAUGGAGGAACAAGGUUGGUUACAGAUUCUAACGCCGAGUCUUCAGAUUGGCCAAAUGCUUGGAAACGGGUAAAAAUGUGACUAUAAAGAAGGUUUUGUAGGACAAAAGAUAGAAGAACCGUGAGCUCCAGUUAAUACAUGUGAAGGAUCAUCCAAAUGUCAUUUCCUUAAAGCAUUGUUUCUUUUCCACUACUACAAAAGACAAACUAUUUCUCAACUUGGUAAUGGAAUGUGUCCCUGAAACCAUGUUUCGGUUUUGAAGCAUUACAGUAAUGAAAAUCAAAGAAUGCCAAUCAUCUAUGUCAAAUUAUACAUGUACCAGGUUCUUAGGGGCCUGGCCUAUAUCCACACGGUUCCUGGAGUUUGUCACCGAGAUUUGAAGCCACAAAAUAUUUUGGUGGAUCCCCUUACUCACCAAGUAAAAUUAUGUGACUUUGGAAGUGCAAAAAUGCUUUUUUGGCAUAUUAUUUCAUUGAUGUAGUUACUCAAAGCGGCAAGUUCAAGGUGGGCUACAUUAUUCUUGUGGAGGCAGGAGCAUAGUGAGCGAGAUUUGGUUCGAAUUGCUUCAUACGGGAUUUGUAGGUGUAAUUUUUUUAAUUGUUCAUAGAGGGGAGGAGGGUUGAUUGUACAAUAGAAAAUGUGUUCAUAUGGGGGUUGAUAGUUGUUAUACUUUUGAAAUUGUUCAUAUGGGAUUGACUAUAAUAUUGAAAUUGUUCGUAUAGGGUUUUCCAUAUUCUUUUAACUUAGAAAUACUUUGAGGUUGUAAUAUUGACAAUGUUAAAGAAGUGAAGUUCUUAUAAAGAGAUAUUGGUGGAAA